UAUUGGACAAUGGGGGCAACCCUGAUCCAGCAAUGCCGCGUGUGUGAAGAAGGUUUUCGGAUUGUAAAGCACUUUCGGCGGGGACGAUGAUGACGGUACCCGCAGAAGAAGCCCCGGCUAACUUCGUGCCAGCAGCCGCGGUAAUACGAAGGGGGCUAGCGUUGCUCGGAAUGACUGGGCGUAAAGGGCGUGUAGGCGGUUUGUACAGUCAGAUGUGAAAUCCCCGGGCUUAACCUGGGAGCUGCAUUUGAUACGUGCAGACUAGAGUGUGAGAGAGGGUUGUGGAAUUCUCAGUGUAGAGGUGAAAUUCGUAGAUAUUGGGG
rnacentral:rRNA from 1 species